rnacentral:lncRNA from 1 species
GAUUGGACAAGCGGAAUAUCAGUCACAGCAUGGCCCCGCCCCCACCCUCCCAUUCAACCACUGGAUCUAAUGUAGCCCUAUGUUUACUACAGAAUUAGUGCAUAGCGGACGACAGUCUCCUGAACUGUGAACUCCGAAUCACAAAAGAUAACCUGUUAGUUUUGCAUAAAAGAAGAAAAAUAUCCCAAACUCAACAUGCCCAAGAGAAAGGGAACUGAUGGAGAAGUCAAGGAGGAGCCUCAGAGAAGGUCUGCUAGAUUAUCGGCGAAACCAACACCUCCAAAACCUGAACCCAAACUGAAAAAAACUCCCAAGGUAUUUACACUUUUUAUAAACACAUUUUUGCACUGAUGCUCAUGUGUCACUUGUCUCCAUGAUUUGGUGUGUAGUCUGUGUAAUACGUAUUGCUCUAUAUUCAUUCUUUUGCUCUGACGUUUCCUCUCUG